rnacentral:rRNA from 1 species
GAUUAACGCUAGCGGCAGGCCUAAUACAUGCAAGUCGAACGGUAACAGGUGUAGCAAUACAUGCUGACGAGUGGCGCACGGGUGCGUAACACGUAUGCAACCUACCUAUAACUGGGGAAUAGCCUUCCGAAAGGAAGAUUAACACCGCAUAACAUCACGAAACGGCAUCGUUUUGUGAUCAAACCUCCGGGGGUUAUAGAUGGGCAUGCGUAACAUUAGCUAGUUGGUGAGGUAAUGGCUCACCAAGGCGACGAUGUUUAGGGGGUCUGAGAGGAUGAUCCCCCACACUGGUACUGAGACACGGACCGGACUCCUACGGGAGGCAGCAGUAAGGAAUAUUGGACAAUGGGGGCAACCCUGAUCCAGCCAUGCCGCGUGAAGGAUGAAGGCCCUCUGGGUUGUAAACUUCUUUUGUACGGGAAUAACCCCUUUACGUGUAGAGGGUUGAAUGUACCGUAAGAAUAAGGAUCGGCUAACUUCGUGCCAGCAGCCGCCGUAA